rnacentral:rRNA from 1 species
GACGAACGCUGGCGGCGUGCUUAACACAUGCAAGUCGAGCGAGAAACCUUCGGGUUUCUAGCGGCGGCCGGGUGAGUAACACGUGGGUAACCUGCCUCAAAGAGGGGGAUAGCCUUACGACAGGAAGAUUAAUACCGCAUAACAUUACAGUUUCGCAUGAAGCAGUAAUUAGAGGAGUAAUCCGCUUUGAGAUGGACCCGCGGCGCAUUAGCUAGUUGGAGAGGUAACGGCUCACCAAGGCAACGAUGCGUAGCCGACCUGAGAGGGUGAUCGGCCACAUUGGAACUGAGACACGGUCCAGACUCCUACGGGAGGCAGCAGUGGGGAAUAUUGCACCAUGGGCGAAAGCCUGAUGCAGCAACGCCGCGUGAGUGAUGAAGGUCUUCGGAUUGUAAAGCUCUGUCUUUUGGGACGAUAAUGACGGUACCAAAGGAGGAAGCCACGGCUAACUACGUGCCAGCAGCCGCGGUAA